GGAAAUGCAUCUGAUAUAUUUAAUGUAUAAAACUAUAUUUAAAAAAAAAAGAUGUUAAGAUGAUGAGGAGAGCCACCUUGUCAGCCGGGAGAGCAGCUCUAAGGGAGAUGGUCAAUUUAAUCUUCACCAAGUCUGAGGCUUUACCUUGAAAAAUAUGUGGUUGUUAUAAUGAUGAUGUUUUCAUGGUGUUGGGAGUAAGACUUGGAUGUCUGAUAUUGUUAACAUGUUGGUUAGCAUCAGGUUUCCAUUGGGUUACUUGCUGGGAUACAGCUGUUAUAAGUCGAAAGAGUUGCUGUUGCUGCCUUCCUUGUAUGGUAAAAUCCUCAGACUACAAUCCUGCAAACCAUUGGAUGAACUGUUGCUAUCUUUUGUAAAAAAAUCAGCAGAUAUUUGUCUUAUAAGCAGAAUGAAUUAUAAAUGCAAUUAAUGUUUAAUGCUUUAUUAUUCAAAUUAUAAAUAUUUAUUUCAUUAUUUUUUCUUGCAUUCAAUUAUUGUUUUGUGAUUGAAGAAAUAUAAAAAAAAACUGUGAAAUUAUUGUUAUUUGAGAGGUCCCAAAGGUAUGAUGUAUGGUUUCACAAGAUACCCAUAAGACUUGCUUCAGUUUACAUAUAUUUUUUAAAUUAUAUAUAUGUACACUGGUUAAGAAUUAUAAGUCCUUUGUGAAAUGAUUUUUUCUGGUUAGAAACCUAUUAAGUAGGACUUUGAUGGCCAAACACUAAAAGGGAAUAAAAAAAAUCCCCUAUUAAACAAUCUAAGUA